GAAGUGAAAUGCUGUAAUGCCGAUGGUAGUGUGGGGUCUCCCCAUGUGAGAGUAGGACACCGCCGGAU
rnacentral:rRNA from 1 species